GAGGCAGGCGCCAGUUACGAGACAUACCCAAGUUCAUGCACCUGGUCUCUUUCUUUCUCAAUAAUUUUGGCCUUUUUUCUUCUUUUGCUUCAGAAGCUUGCAACGAGCUAAGCGUUGCCAGAUUCUACUACCAUUUUUUCUAGCUCGCAAAUCCGCUUUCGACUUCUGCUUGUGCUUGACAGUCAUGGUCUUUGUCAUCACCUUAUUUACCGUCUUCGUCGCAUCACUCUCCUCUUCAAAAACCCAUAUCAUUGUUUCCCUCUCUUCCGGCUUCCCUUCGUCAGCAAUAUUCGAUAGAAUGCACUAUCGAUGUCCAGGCUGCGGGCUGCUCGCGCUCAUCGAGCUAGCCAUUAUGGUCAGGUAUGGCAGAAGUUCGUCAAUACUUAGAAGCCUAGAUCUACAAAGUCGGACAGGUAUUAUAACCAUUCCCGAUUUACUUUUUCGUAUGGUGACAUUUAGCUAUAUCUUGGUUUGUUUCUAUGCGGGUCUUGAUUUUGCUGAAUUGGGUUUUACGAUUUGACAGACAUACAUUAUGUUGUGGCUUCAUCUAUCCUUUCGCUCGACUUUAGUUGUGUCUGUUCUUGAUUUUGUUUGAGUUUCUGGUGGUUCGUUUUGGGUUUCGUUUGGGUCUUCACAGGUUAUUUGGUUGAUUCUUGAUGUAAAGUUGGGUUUCUAUUCCUGGCUGGUUUGGUGCGUUAUUUAGUCUCUAUCUGUCAGGGCUUAACUUUUCUUUGCCGAUUAAGGUGGCGGUGGUGGUUGAUAGUGCUGAUUUUGUUGAUUCAAGGGUAGUGACGAAUCUUCCUUUCGUUUGAGAAUUGAGAUUAUUCUGUUUUUAACAUGUUUUCAUUUGUGCUUAUUCUGUUUCUGAUGGUUAUGUUUGUGUUUUCUUUCUACGGUGAAAUGAAAACGAUGGAGAACGAUGAUUAAGGUUCACGAGCUGAGAUAGAAAUUGAAGGCGGAGCACUUGAACCAGCUCAAGGAAUUCAAGGCCGAGCUCGCUCUCCUCUGUGUCGCUAAAGUCAAGCAACCAGUCUAUUUUUCAUGUAUGUAUGCGUAUACUGAGUUAUAAUUGAAUUUUUUGUUUUUUAGUUAUUGUCUAAAGCUGUGCUUAUGAAUUCGAUUUUUUUUGUGAAUUAUCCAUAAAUCAAGUUAGGAUUGACUGCAAUUUGUUAAGUUGCUUAUGUUGAUAAAAAUCUUGCUUUUCUCAAUUGAAGUCAUCCACUGUAUUUGUAUCAUUCAGUGUUCAGGUGUGUAAUUGGAGUGGGGAAGUCCAUCUACCUGCAGCUCGACUUUGUGCUUCUGUGAGAUAGGUUUUUUCGCUUUGUGGAGAGGAUUCAACUGCUGUUGUGCUUCUUGCAACCAAAAAACCAUACAUAUGAUGGAUUUAUUAGAACGGUUGUUCAUAAGAAAGGUUCCACUGACGGCAUUAAACUGGUGGGAAUACAUGUCUACUCAAAUGAUCUUCCGAGAGAUGAAGAUAUGAGAAGUCAUUUGCAUUGAGAUCCUGUAGAAUCAUCCUUUAAGGUGGUUGCUUACUCUGUGAGUUUCUUAAGGGCAAUUUUAUAGAUAGGUUCAAGGGUAAACACAUUAGUGUGUGCUCAUGGAGGUCAUCAAUAUAAACACAAGGCACAAUAGUGUCGGAUGCGGCAACAGGACUCCAAGGAAAGCUCGGGGGAACAUGGUCUUCAUUGAAAAACAUUACUGUGUGCUCAUGGGCCUCAUCAAUGUUUCUUCUCAAUAUGAAUUGUAACUUUCAAACGUUCACAACGUGUUUGUUGAAAGGACAGAUUGAAAGUUAUGAGUACAAGAUAGAUCAAAUCACCAGAAGGUUUGCCAAAUACACCAGCAAGUUUUGAUGGAAACUUCGAUCAUUGAAGCAUCGCAUUUGGAAACUUUGAUCAGAAACGUGCCAUUGACAUUUUGUAUGGGCUUGGUUUCAACAAACAUGUGCAUGCCAACAAAAUAGGUGGUUGCAUUAUGAGUAUUGCAAUAGCACUGAGUUUUUUAUGAAUCUAAAAAUUUUGUUACUUCAUGACCCUACCAAUUACGCCAAAUACAAAUGUUGCUUUUUGUCCUUCUAUCUAAUUUUCCCGUGAAAUAAAUACUGUUUUCAAAUUAGAUGUAGAAUCAUAAUCACUACUAUUAAUUUAUAAAUAAUUUAGAUCUAGGAUCUAAAUCAUCAACGUUAAUUCUUCGAAUGUGUGCUUUCAACUACUUUGCCAUUUCAUUUCAUGGUCAAGCCUUUUCUGCUAUAGGAUCUAGGAUUUCAACAGAAAUGGCGCCAUGAGCUUUGAAGGUAAAUUGAACGUGUUUUCAUAGUCUUGAGAAUUUUUCUUCUGUGUCAAUUUAAUCCAUUGAUGCUGUAGGUUGUAGUAUUUGUUGCGCACAGUAAUUUCCUUCUUAAGGUUAGUUCUUUUGAUAACUUUAAUUUGUUGCUAUUACCUAAUGAGGUUGGAGGAGCAGACUGGAAGAGUAGCCAGUUUAAGUUACUGAAUUCUUCGCAGAGGCUGUUGAAAUUGAUGAGCAAGUGCUGCACCAGGAUCUGCGUUUUGGUUGGUAUUGUAGGGAUGAGCUUUUAUGGAGUACUCCAGCUUUAAUUGCAUACCUGGCAAGGCACUACAUGGGAAAGGGAAUAGCUGUGGGAGAUGUACUUCACAUUUGUCCGAUUUAUUUCAAUAUAUUUGAUUGUGUUAUGUUCAAUGUUUUCUCCCAUUUUCCUUUGGUAUUGUUUUUUCAAUACCUAUCAAUGAAAUACUCUUAAAGAUGUGUUUCCAUACAGAAAAAGGAUUUCGUGCUCUGUUAACUGUUGUUGCUUGGAUUAUAUUAUACGCAAAUAAUGGAAAACCAAGUGAGGAACUGUCAAAAAUUUAUCUA